UUCUUGUCGCGUGAGUGAUGGCAGUGGAGCUCUUUUUAUUGGUGGCUCUUUUUGCCACCAAUAAAAAAGCGGGAACGUACAGCACGACCCGAA
rnacentral:sRNA from 1 species